UUACGGUUAUAUCACGUUGAAAAACUAGUUCUUGUACGAUUACAGAAGUUAAGUAACAUCGAUCCUGGUUAGUACCUAGGUGGGUGACCGCUUGGGGAUACCAGGUGCCGUAAG